CUCGCGUACUGUCAUCAUAGGUGACAAGAUGACACUGCCCGUCAUUUCUUCUCGUCUGAGUCUGCAGGGAUUCCUGCUCGUCAUAUGAAACUCAUUCCGGUGAUGUUGACCAUCGUUUUGCCAUCUAUUAGGAAACUCCAGUCAGUCCAGUAGUGUGGUGACUCUGCUGGAUUGACUAGAAUCUCCAAGACUGAACCUCACUCACUAAGCUCUUUAUUAACAUGAGAAGCAUCAGAUCUGAAUCAUAUUUAGGAUCAGGAGAAGGACCAGCUCUUCAAUUUUCUUGGGCUACUCAUGAUUUUUAAGUUACGGAAC